ensembl:lncRNA
GACCAGGGACUCUGUUGUCAUAGCUUCAGGGGAGAUGCUCAUUCCACCAUCAGAGGGCAUAGCUUCAGGGGGAAGAUGAACAGGGACUCUGUUGUCAUAGCUUCAGGGGAAGAUGAACAGGGACUCUGUUGUCAUAGCUUCAGGGGGAGAUGAACAGGGACUCUGUUGUCAUAGCUUCAGGGGAAGCUCAUUCCACCAUCGGAGGGCAUAGCUUCAGGGGAAGCUCAUUCCACCAUCGGAGGACCAGGACCGAGAAGGACUGGUGUUGAAUAACAGCAUGUAUUUUGAUUAAUGAUGAUUUAAAACAUUUAUUCCCCAUUUUUUUAUGAUUCUAUGCACAGACGUCUGUGCCAGAAGGUUUUCUGCCGUGCAUAUUUACUGGUUGAAUUUAAUAUUUCCAUAUUUCGUAUUAUGGUAAUUUCGUAUUACCAUAGUACAUCACUCCAGCAAUGAAUGGGAUCUUUCCUCUGGUGAUCCCUUAAAGCUCAGGACUUGUAUUCAUAAAUCUCAGAGUGCUGAUCUAGGAUCAGUUUUUUUAGCUCAUAAAGAAGGGCGCAG